UACGGAGGAUGCGAGCGUUAUCCGGAUUUAUUGGGUUUAAAGGGUGCGUAGGCGGUAUGGUAAGUCAGCGGUAAAAGCCCGGGGCUCAACCCCGGCGAGCCGUUGAAACUGCCGUGCUAGAGAGGAAGAGAAGUAGGCGGAAUGCGCAGUGUAGCGGUGAAAUGCUUAGAGAUCAUACAGAACACCGAUUGCGAAGGCAGCUUACCAAGCUACUUCUGACGUUGAGGCACGAAAGCGUGGGGAGCAAACAGG
rnacentral:rRNA from 1 species